rnacentral:tRNA from 1 species
AGCGGGGUGGAGCAGCCCGGUAGCUCGUCGGGCUCAUAACCCGAAGGUCGUUGGUUCGAAUCCAGCCCCCGCUACCA